rnacentral:lncRNA from 1 species
GGAUAAUUUACAGAGUGUGACACAAAAGAAGUGGAUCAUAAGCAGGUCUUUUUAAACUCCUGCUUUAGAGAAUUUCUGCAGAACAAAAAACUUAAAACUCCUGACUAGUAAAAGACCAAGUUCAAAUGGAAAAUAAUCUAGUAUUCUCAAAAGAGGAGAUGGAGGGCAGGUUUUUAGGUAAAACAUGAAGAAGAAGAG